rnacentral:rRNA from 1 species
AGGGAGAUUGGAAUUCCUGGUGUAGCGGUGGAAUGCGCAGAUAUCAGGAGGAACACCGAUGGCGAAGGCAGAUCUCUGGGCCGUAACUGACGCUGAGGAGCGAAAGGGUGGGGAGCAAACAGGCUUAGAUACCCUGGUAGUCCACCCCGUAAACGUUGGGAACUAGUUGUGGGGUCCAUUCCACGGAUUCCGUGACGCAGCUAACGCAUUAAGUUCCCCGCCUGGGGAGUACGGCCGCAAGGCUAAAACUCAAAGGAAUUGACGGGGACCCGCACAAGCGGCGGAGCAUGCGGAUUAAUUCGAUGCAACGCGAAGAACCUUACCAAGGCUUGACAUAUACGAGAACGGGCCAGAAAUGGUUAACUCUUUGGACACUCGUAAACAGGUGGUGCAUGGUUGUCGUCAGCUCGUGUCGUGAGAUGUUGGGUUAAGUCCCGCAACGAGCGCAACCCUCGUUCUAUGUUGCCAGCACGUAAUGGUGGGAACUCAUGGGAUACUGCCGGGGUCAACUCGGAGGAAGGUGGGGAUGACGUCAAAUCAUCAUGCCCCUUAUGUCUUGGGCUUCACGCAUGCUACAAUGGCCGGUACAAAGGGCUGCAAUACCGCGAGGUGGAGCGAAUCCCAAAAAGCCGGUCCCAGUUCGGAUUGAGGUCUGCAACUCGACCUCAUGAAGUCGGAGUCGCUAGUAAUCGCAGAUCAGCAACGCUGCGGUGAAUACGUUCCCGGGUCUUGUACACACCGCCCGUCAAGUCAUGAAAGUCGGUAACACCUGAAGCCGGUGGCCUAACCCUUGUGGAGGGAGCCGUCGAAUAUAAUGCCGAAGCCCCCC